AUGAAACACUCCUACGGGAGGCAGCAGUGGGGAAUUUUGGACAAUGGGGGCAACCCUGAUCCAGCAAUUCUGUGUGCACGAAGAAGGUUUUCGGAUUGUAAAGUGCUUUCAGCGGGGAAGAAGAGAAUGACGGUACCUGCAGAAGAAGCGACGGCUAAAUACGUGCCAGCAGCCGCGGUAAUACGUAUGUCACAAGCGUUAUCCGGAUUUAUUGGGCGUAAAGCGCGUCUAGGUGGUUAUGUAAGUCUGAUGUGAAAAUGCAGGGCUCAACUCUGUAUUGCGUUGGAAACUGUGUAACUAGAGUACUGGAGAGGUAAGCGGAACUACAAGUGUAGAGGUGAAAUUCGUAGAUAUUUGUAGGAAUGCCGAUGGGGAAGCCAGCUUACUGGACAGAUACUGACGCUAAAGCGCGAAAGCGUGGGUAGCAAACAGGAUUAGAAACCCGGGUAGUCCGAAGUUC
rnacentral:rRNA from 1 species